GGGGUUCGGGGCUUUUCUAGACCUGCGUGAGAAGGUCUUUCUUCUUAAGCAAAAGCCCGGGGGGGAGGGGGGGGGCGUCAUACCCCCGUAGGUCUAGUUUGUGAGAAGGUCUUUCUUCUUAAGCAAAAGCCCGGGAGGCCGUCAUACCCCCGUAGGUCUAGUUUUUUUCUUUUACAUAUGGGUGCACGCUUCAUCAACUUAACAUUGAACUGUAGUAUGCACAUAAUGAUGCCACUCCAUCAGCUCAGACCUAGCAUGGUUCUCAGUCACC
rnacentral:lncRNA from 1 species